UGUUAAAAUUUUAUCUAUUUAUACCAUUAAAAGCUAGUACGAUUGAUGUAAUAACCAGACAGUAACAUGUGAUGUACCACAUGUACCUCAUAGAGUGACCAAUUUUAAACAGGAGAAAUAGAUAAAGUUUUUAACA
rfam:Gossypium raimondii Chr06_contig_48, whole genome shotgun sequence.